UUGGUGUUGAUGGUGUUUUUCACAUGCAUGCUUUUUAAUGCUAGUUUAAUUCUCAAAUUGAUCUGAUACUUUCGUUUCACAAAAAGUAAACAAAUUGUUCACUUUCUUAGGGCCUGACAACCACCAGUUGAGUCCAUGAUUCAUUGAGUUCCUUAUAAGGAAAAAUAUUUGUUACCACCUAGUAAUUUAAAUGUAUUAUUUAUUGCUUUAAAAUGAACACAUAUAUUUAUCAUCAGGGGAAGAGACAGUCUGGGCAGCAGCAACAAGACAACUAUUACAAGUAGAGAUGGGUUUCAAGAACUGGUACUAAUUUGGUUCCUGACUUGUUCGACACAACCACAUAUCCUCCAAAUCAUCUCUGCGUGGAUGGCAGCAAGGAUCCAGGAUCAAGAGAUCAUUCUUCAUGGAGACUGUUCCACAGGAAGCAGUUUCUCCUGGGUGAAAAACUAAACCUGGUUGUUUCAGCAUCACUCAG